GACGAACGCUGGCGGCGUGCUUAACACAUGCAAGUCGAACGGCAAGGCCCUGCUUUUGUGGGGUUCUCGAGUGGCGAACGGGUGAGUAACACGUGAGUAACCUGCCCUUCACUUUGGGAUAACUUCAGGAAACUGGGGCUACUCCCGUAUCGGAUCUCCUGCUCCAUGGUGGGGAUUGGAAAUUUUCGGCGGGUGGGGAUGGACGCGCGGCUUAUCAGCUUGUUGGUGGGGUAGUGGCUUACCAAGGCUUUGACGGGUAGCCGGCCUGGGAGGGUGACCGGCCACAUUGGGACUGAGAGACGGCCCAGACUCCUACGGGAGGCAGCAGUGGGGAAUAUUGUACAAUGGGCGGAAGCCUGAUGCAGCAACGCCGCGUGCGGGAUGACGGCCUUCGGGUUGUAAACCGCUUUCGCCUGUGACGAAGCGUGAGUGACGGUAAUGGGUAAAGAAGCACCGGCUAACUACGUG
rnacentral:rRNA from 1 species